rnacentral:rRNA from 1 species
UACGGAGGGUGCAAGCGUUAUCCGGAUUCACUGGGUUUAAAGGGUGCGUAGGUGGCUUUGUAAGUCAGUGGUGAAAUCUCGGAGCUUAACUCCGAAACUGCCAUUGAUACUGCUUAGCUUGAAUCAAGUAGAGGUGGAUGGAAUAUUACAUGUAGCGGUGAAAUGCUUAGAUAUGUAAUAGAACACCGAUUGCGAAGGCAGUUCACUAUGCUUGUAUUGACACUGAGGCACGAAAGCGUGGGGAUCAAACAGGAUUAGAAACCCCCGUAGUCC